GAUGCUGCUAAGGUGCUAAGGUUUUGUCUUGAUCUUGAUUCGUUUGUGGUCGGUGGGUUUGUUUCGAUCCCAAGUCUUCGGUGUUGGUCGAUCACGCUCAUUUUUUUCUGAUUUCUUGCGUGCGAUCUUCGUUUUCAGAUCGGAUGUGCUUUAAUUCGUCUGAUUCGGGUUCUUGUCCAGGAUUCGAGAUCCAGGAUUCAAUCGAACAGUUUGAUUUGUUUGUACUCGUUCUCUCGUGUUGAAUGUGUUGAUCGGCCCUCUUUUUUGCAUCACAACCGGACUAUUAUCAUGAAUCAUAAACUUCAUUCCUCUGUUGCUUUCUAUGUCGCAGGGAUUUGGCAAUCUCUUCGAGCGCAAGGAACAUUUCAUGAACAAACUCUUUCGGAGGAAAGAGAAGAAGAUAAAGAAUAGUUUGGGAUUAACCAAAUAAUUCCUCGGUGUUGAUUUCAAGGUUGUGAUCUGAUUACACCAAAGAUCUGCAGCAUCAAGACCAUUUCGUGAUUGCUGGAGUACCUUGUGGUUCAAGAAAUCGAUUCAAGAAGUUGCCCGAGGUGCGAUAACUUGAUGGUUGAAGUUGGCAGCCAAGAAACGGGACGAUCCAUCCCGGCGGAACUUGGUCGAUGAAUCAAGUAUCAAGAAACCGAACGAUCGGUCUCAAGAAUGAAAUCUCGGCUCCAACCCAUCAAAGAAAAUUCGGUCGAUGCGAUCGCGUCAUUAACCCAGUUUUGUCUACGAGGAGAACAACAUUGAGCGGAGAACGGGCGUCUCUUUUGGUUAAUGCGUGUCGCGCGCCUGUCUUUUUUUACUUCAUGUACACUGACAUAUAGGGAAUAUUUGCUCUCAUCCGCGACAAAAAACCGUUAUGGUAGCCACAUCAGUUGGGAGGCUUUCUUCAUCAUCACAUUGCAAGUUGUCGUUAUCAAGGACAACAUUAGUUCGCACAGUUUGGGCAUGGAUCAGCUUGCGCUGAUCAUCCA